UGCUUUGCGGAAAGCUUCGAUCCAAAUAAGAACAUGCUUUUUAUUCAGAGAAUGGGUAGUGGUGUGGUGUUGGUGUCGAUAUGUAAACUAAGGAGCUCCAGUUUUGAGAUGUCGAUCUGAAGAACUCAAUCUUCAAAAUUUUGUUUCAAUCGUCGUUCGAUUUAGUAUUAUACUUUUCUCCAACCUCUAUGCAAAUCAUUUUCAUGUGUAGCGAAGGAAGUGAUGAGGGUUGAGUGGUGGAUGGUGAUGACUGGUGUUGGUGGGGAGUGGUAGAUGUUGUUGGUCGGUGGUGGGUAUGGUGAAGAUGGUGGAUUGUACUGUGAGUGGUAAGGAUGGCGAGUGUUGCGGGUAGUGGGGUGAGUUUUAAGUGGCAAGGAUGGAGAUUUUUGAGUAGUAUGUGGGUGGUGUGGGCUGGCGGGGGAGGCAAAUGCUGAUGGGAAUGAUGAAUUGUGCUGGUUUUCCGUGGUAAGUGUUGAAGGUGGUGGGUUGUGCUUGCUGUCAGUUUUCUGAUGUUAGAAAUUAUGAUUCAUUGUAUAAUGAAAUGGAUGCAACAUGAUUUAUUAGUCAACUUGCUUCUCGAUGUGAGCCUUAAACUGGGAUCUGCUGGAAUAAGCACCGGGUUGAAGAAGAAUUAUGGAUGUACAUGAAAGAUUAUGUUGUUCAGGAUGAAAUUGAUUGUGAAUUGAAGAUGGUUGCGAACACUCAAUAGAUUGAUGCCUGAUGUUGAUUCGUUUCCAUAUCCAUGAGACAUUAAAAGUUUAAUUCCUAUACUGUUGCAGCAAAAAGCUUGGACCGACCGUAGGCAAUGUAACUGAUUUUGUGGUCAGUUCGAGGAAGGAGUAGUGGUGAGAUGGUCAUAGUAGAAAUUACAGUUAGUGGUUAUGCAAAUAUGUUAAGGGAGAAGUGGCUUAAUGGUUAAGACGAAACUGGGUUUGCUAUAUUAAAUGAUUUCAGUUUGAAUUGGUUGGAAAUGUUGAUGUUUGUGCUUGAUGAAGCAAAUAGGUUGAGGUGCAGGUGAUGAUUGAACGUGAACUGAAAAUAUGUUUUGAACGUUGUUAUUAUUGAAAAGUUGUACUGCAGCUGUAAGCUUCGGCAUAUGGAUCAGUUUUCUUUAUGUAUUCAACUGAAUAAUAACAUUAACUCUAUUCAUAUACUUCUUGCAGA